rnacentral:rRNA from 1 species
GUCUAAGGCCAUGCCACCCCGAACAUGCCUGAUCUUGUCUGGUCUCGGAAGCCAAGCAGGGUCGGGCCUGGUUAGUACUUUGAUGGGAGACCACCUAGGAAUGCCAGGUGCUGUAGGCA